rnacentral:rRNA from 1 species
CCUACGGGUGGCAGCAGUGGGGAAUAUUGCACAAUGGGGGAAACCCUGAUGCAGCGACGCCGCGUGAGUGAAGAAGUAAUUCGUUAUGUAAAGCUCUAUCAGCAGGGAAGAAAAUGACGGUACCUGAGUAAGAAGCCCCGGCUAACUACGUGCCAGCAGCCGCGGUAAUACGUAGGGGGCAAGCGUUAUCCGGAUUUACUGGGUGGAAAGGGAGCGUAGACGGCGAUGCAAGUCUGAAGUGAAAGGCGGGGGCCCAACCCCCGGACUGCUUUGGAAACUGUAUGGCUGGAGUGCAGGAGAGGUAAGUGGAAUUCCUAGUGUAGCGGUGAAAUGCGUAGAUAUUAGGAGGAACACCAGUGGCGAAGGCGGCUUACUGGACUGUAACUGACGUUGAGGCUCGAAAGCGUGGGGAGCAAACAGGAUUAGAUACCCCUGUAGUC